CACGUAGGGGGCGAGCGUUGUCCGGAUUCAUUGGGCGUAAAGGGCGCGCAGGCGGCCCGGAAAGUCGGAUGUGAAAACUCGAGGCUCAACCUCGAGCGUGCACCCGAUACUGCCGGGCUUGAGGCAGGUGAGGGAGAGUCGGAAUUCCUGGUGUAGCGGUGAAAUGCGCAGAUAUCAGGAGGAACACCGGUGGCGAAGGCGGAUCUCUGGGCCUGUCCUGACGCUGAGGCGCGAAAGCUAGGGGAGCGAACAGG
rnacentral:rRNA from 1 species